GGUUGAUCCUGCCAGUAGUCAUAUGCUUGUCUCAAAGAUUAAGCCAUGCAAGUCCAAGUAUAAACUAGUAUACAGUGAAACUGCGAAUGGCUCAUUAGAACAGUUAUAAUUUAUUUGAUAGUACAUUACUACAUGGAUAACCGUGGUAAUUCUAGAGCUAAUACAUGCAAGAGACUCUGGGAGACUGGAGGGUAUUUAUUAGGUAAAAACCAAAGCCUCGAAAGGGGGAGAGGGUGAUUCAUGAUAACUUUGCGGAUCGUAUGGCCUUGAGCUGACGACGUAUCAUUCAAAUU
rnacentral:rRNA from 1 species